rnacentral:rRNA from 1 species
UAGGGAAUCUUCCACAAUGGACGAAAGUCUGAUGGAGCAACGCCGCGUGAGUGAAGAAGGGUUUCGGCUCGUAAAGCUCUGUUGUUAAAGAAGAACACGUAUGAGAGUAACUGUUCAUACGUUGACGGUAUUUAACCAGAAAGCCACGGCUAACUACGUGCCAA